CGCGCGCGCCCGGGCAGCUCCGCGGGCCGUGACGCGGGAGCGCGCGGGCCGCCGCCGUGCGGUGCUGCGGCCCACGUGACCCGCGCGCGCUGAGGCGUACGGCCUCCGCCUCCCGUCGGCGUGCUCGUCCCUCCCCCAGGGCUGUGGAGAACCCGGACCGUUUCUUCUCCUCAAGGCGGGUGCUCCUGCGGGACUUGAGGUGCGGGCAGCUGACCUGCCUGGUCGGGUCGAGCCUAAGCUCUCCGACCCGGGUGACUGUGAGCGCUGCGAGCGCCCAGCCGCCUUCGCCGCCUCUGGGUUUGCUUGGCCCGGGCGCCUGAGCCCUGCUAGCCGAGCCUCCUCCGCGCUGUGGCUGAGGUCUGGAGACAUGGCAGCCCCUUGUCACGCCCCGGCGCGGAGCGUUGGUGUGAGGGUGUGAGGUUGGCCAUGGAGAACUGGAGAUGCCAGAAGAAGGCCAGACCCCUUAGCUCGGGAACAACAGUCCCAGGGCGGCCAGAUGAGCCUGGUGGGGGAAGGGCGAGCCAUCAUGGCCGUCUAGUAGGGAAAGAGCCUUAGCACGAAUCCCGCCAUUUUAAGCCGAAGAACCUCAGACGGGAAGAAAGGGCCUUGAAUGAGGUCACUGCCCAGAGAAAAGCCAGUAGGUCUCGCCCCUACACUUCAUCUUUCCUCGUCUAAGCCCUCCAGUAGACUUUUCCCACUUAGUGGAAGCAGCUCUCAACUGUGGCUUUAGGACUGAUGGAAAAAUAGGAGAACCGAGGGCAAGGCUGAGAACCUGUGAAUGAUGUGUUAAUAGCCACAAACUUCAGGACAGUAAACAGAAGAUGUACUAUAUUCACCUUUGUACCUCCACCACCAAUUCAUGACAACAGCUAAAAGGACUCAAAUGUUCAAAAUGGGUAGAAGGAGAAAGCCUGCGAUCAGCAGCUCUCCUAUGCAGAUGCCAGGGACCACCCUACCGACUAUUUAAGACCCAGACCAUAGAUCUGCCACGUGUGCCGUGGUGUUCUGUCUCUCCCCUGCUUUCCGAGCCCCACCGGGGAGUGCUCUGCUUUGUAUUGCCCUGUUUAUUAAAUCUGGAUUUAUUAA